GUGCCAGCAGCCGCGGUAAUACGGAGGGUGCAAGCGUUACUCGGAAUUACUGGGCGUAAAGCGUGCGUAGGUGGUUCGUUAAGUCUGAUGUGAAAGCCCUGGGCUCAACCUGGGAAUUGCAUUGGAUACUGGCGGGCUAGAGUGCGGUAGAGGAUGGCGGAAUUCCCGGUGUAGCAGUGAAAUGCGUAGAGAUCGGGAGGAACAUCUGUGGCGAAGGCGGCCAUCUGGACCAGCACUGACACUGAGGCACGAAAGCGUGGGGAGCAAACAGGAUUAGAAACCCGGGUAGUCC
rnacentral:rRNA from 1 species